rnacentral:rRNA from 1 species
CCUACGGGGGGCUGCAGUGGGGAAUAUUGGACAAUGGGGGCAACCCUGAUCCAGCCAUGCCGCGUGUGUGAAGAAGGCCCUCGGGUUGUAAAGCACUUUCAGUGAGGAAGAACGCCUGGUGGUUAAUACCCAUCAGGAAAGACAUCACUCACAGAAGAAGCACCGGCUAACUCCGUGCCAGCAGCCGCGGUAAUACGGAGGGUGCGAGUGUUAAUCGGAAUUACUGGGCGUAAAGCGCGCGUAGGUGGCUUGAUAAGCCGGUUGUGAAAGCCCCGGGCUCAACCUGGGAACGGCAUCCGGAACUGUCAAGCUAGAGUGCAGGAGAGGAAGGUAGAAUUCCCGGUGUAGCGGUGAAAUGCGUAGAGAUCGGGAGGAAUACCAGUGGCGAAGGCGGCCUUCUGGACUGACACUGACACUGAGGUGCGAAAGCGUGGGUAGCAAACAGGAUUAGAUACCCGUGUAGUC